GCCUGUCGCCUUGUGAUUGAACGACUUGAGAAGUUAGUCCCAUACCCUUCUGCCGUCCUCCAAGGUAACACACACACACACACACACACACACACACACACACACACACACCUGACCUGGCCCCAUACCAUAAAUAUCUGGCCUGGAGUGACUUUAGUGCUCUUGAUCUAUCGAUCUAUUUAUCUGCCGUGAAUUGAGGAGCUUCAUUUAGAGAAAAGUAGUGCUUUGCAGUUAUCUAGUGGUAUCUUGCUGUCAAGCAGCUGUGUAGGACAGGAUUGAGGUGCUUCAUUUAGAUUGCUGCGAUCCUGUGGCAGCUUGGUGCCAAAGAACUAACUACAUGGGAGUGAAUUGAAGAGUUUCAGUUACACAAAAAUAUUGCUGUGCUGCCAUCUUGUGGCAACCACAGGCCAUUAUAUGGCCUUUGCAGGGGGGUGUCAAUUACAGAUUUUUGCAACAGGGCUCGGGCCCGAUCCCCUGCGAAAAGCUGUGUGUUGUAAUUCUUUAUUUUUGUCUACUAUCAGAGGGUAGAUGCAAUAAUCAAAUCAACCCUUUUGUGGUUUCCACAAAACAGAAUUAUUUCGAAGAAAAAAAAAAUCACUUCUUUGGUGUGAAGUGGGGUCAAACUCAACAAAGGAAGCAUGAAACUAAAGUUCUUGCCAUGUCCAUUCUCAACAAUAGUUAAUGUACUUGAUUCCCAAUGCACAAUGUGUGUGUCUUGAGGUCUCCCUCCGCAGGUUUCGUCCUGAUGGACCACUGCUGGUGCGUUGUGGAGAUGAAAGGAAUUCUGGGAAGUCAUCUCACGCUACAGAGUCUGGAAAGGGGCGCUGUGGUGCCAUGAGGAGAAAGCAUUGACGCUGCAGCACAGUCGACGCUUCCCUGACAGGGCGGACGACAACAUGGAGUACAGAUGACGUCUAGGAGGCAUCCUGCUACAUUGGCGUACCAGAGGAAGAAAGCAGGAUGUGACAGCGUGAAUCUCCAGCAAAGAGGACGUUGGCCCCUGGCACACUUGGAGCAUGAAGGCAAAUCUAAACCUAGACUGGCACGCCUUCAGUACAGCGCCACGUCAUGCUGCAACAUGCCAAGUCUACCGCAAGAGUUGCCACGUAAUAAAGAGCAUGAAGAAUAGGCAGAGAAGGUCCCCUACUGAACUGUAGCCGAGAGAAUUAUACGCCUCUCCGUAUCACCGCAAGGCUUUCAGGCGGCCCACUAUAAGGCCGUCAUGUCAUCUGUACCAGCCAAUCAGCGACGAAAG